rnacentral:rRNA from 1 species
AGUGAACGCUGGCGGUAGGCCUAACACAUGCAAGUCGAACGGCAGCACAGUAAGAGCUUGCUCUUACGGGUGGCGAGUGGCGGACGGGUGAGGAAUACAUCGGAAUCUACUUUUUCGUGGGGGAUAACGUAGGGAAACUUACGCUAAUACCGCAUACGACCUACGGGUGAAAGCAGGGGAUCUUCGGACCUUGCGCGAUUGAAUGAGCCGAUGUCGGAUUAGCUAGUUGGCGGGGUAAAGGCCCACCAAGGCGACGAUCCGUAGCUGGUCUGAGAGAAUGAUCAGCUACACUGGAACUGAGACACGGUCCGGACUCCUACGGGAGGCAGCAGUGGGGAAUAUUGGACAAUGGGCGCAAGCCUGAUCCAGCCAUACCGCGUGGGUGAAGAAGGCCUUCGGGUUGUAAAGCCCUUUUGUUGGGAAAGAAAAGCAGCAGGUUAAUACCCCGCUGUUCUGACGGUACCCAAAGAAUAAGCACCGGCUAACUUCGUG